GGCCUCCCUCUGUGGGGCGAUCGAUUGUGGGACCCCCAGAUUGAUUGCCUGCAGAGGGAGGCC
rnacentral:pre_miRNA from 1 species